AUUGAACGCUGGCGGUAUGCUUAACACAUGCAAGUCGAACGAGUGGCGGUCGGGUGAGUAAUGCAUAGGAAUCUACCUUUUAGUCUAGGAUAACUACCCGAAAGGGUGGCUAAUACUGGAUGCUCAGAGUUGAGCCUAUGUGGGAUUAGCUAGUUGGUGAGGUAAUGGCCCAGCAAGGCGCCGAUCUCUUGCUGGUUUGAGCGGAUGAUCAGCCACACUCGUACUGUGACGCGGCACAGACUGCUACGGGAGGCAGCAGUGUGGAAUAUUGCACAAUGGGCGCAAGCCUGAUGCAACCAUGCCGCGUGUAUGAAGAAGGCCUUAGGGUUGUAAAGUACUGUCAGCGGGGAGGCGUUACCCGCAGAAGAAGCACCGGCUAACUCCGUGCCAGCAGCCGCGGUAAUUC
rnacentral:rRNA from 1 species